CCUACGGGUGGCUGCAGUGGGGAAUAUUGCACAAUGGGCGCAAGCCUGAUGCAGCCAUGCCGCGUGUGUGAAGAAGGCCUUCGGGUUGUAAAGCACUUUCAGCGGGGAGGGAGGCGGUGAGGUUAAUAACCUCAUCGAUUGACGUUACCCGCAGAAGAAGCACCGGCUAACUCCGUGCCAGCAGCCGCGGUAAUACGGAGGGUGCAAGCGUUAAUCGGAAUUACUGGGCGUAAAGCGCACGCAGGCGGUCGGUCAAGUCGGAUGUGAAAUCCCCGGGCUCAACCUGGGAACUGCAUUCGAAACUGGCAGGCUAGAGUCUUGUAGAGGGGGGUAGAAUUCCAGGUGUAGCGGUGAAUUGCGUAGAGAUCUGGAGGAAUACCGGUGGCGAAGGCGGCCCCCUGGACAAAGACUGACGCUCAGGUGCGAAAGCGUGGGGAGCAAACAGGAUUAGAUACCCGAGUAGUC
rnacentral:rRNA from 1 species